rnacentral:lncRNA from 1 species
GUGGGCAGCUCCUGGCUGCUCUGCCCGUCUGCAGCCUCCAGGCCACCCUGGGAGGCCCAGGUUCCGGGAGGUAUGAUCAGUGUGUCCACACCAGACUGCAGGCAGAGCAGAGUUGAGGGACCAAGAAGGGUUGGGACAGGUGGGCAGGACCCCAGAACCACUCACAGCCCCGCUGGGUGGAAGCAAAUGGCCCCUCCUCACCCCUGCCCACCUUCUUGGCAGUCUGCCCCCAGGACUGGUCAGACAAGUUCUCGUGGCUGGCCUGGGUGUGGUCACCCUCUGGUGGGGGCCAGCAACGGGGCAAGGCGGGGAGCCUGGCACGCUAAGUCCUGGCACAGGGUCAGGGCAGUGACCCAUCUGUCCCACGCCUGGAGACCUCUGCAUGCCACGCGCCUGCCCUGCCCUGCUGUGGAGCUGGUCACCAUGCGUCAGGGAAGGGCUGGCAUGGCGUGAGGACCCGUCUGUCCUGCGUGGCCAGCUCGGCUGCCACCUCCUCGCCUUGUCUCUGCCCUGCCCGGAACACCAGGGCGCCCCAAGCUGGCCUCAAUGCUCACUCCCUGCCUGGCAUCCUGGCUUACAGUGGUGAGGCAGUACCUGCGCAGAGCAGCCUAGCGCCUGGUGCUCAGCCCCAGAGAGGCCCCCACCCUGCUCAGCAGACCAGGAGACGGCCCAGCACCCACGGCCCCAGCCUCCUCCUGCCUCAUCCUCAAGGCCUGGUCCAGGCCACCUCCUCCCGGAAGCCCAGGCCCCGAGGCAGGACAGGAGUGUCCACAGUGACUGUGUGUGUGUGUUCUCGGGUCCACAUAAAGGGGCAGAUGCCCUGUGUCCAGCUACAACCCCCUCCCAAAGGAGCCUGCAGCAAAGAAGAAUUGCUGGGAGGAAGAUCACCCUGCUUUAUUGCCUGGGCCUUAAGGUAAUCAGGGGUGUCCCUCUCCAGCCAGGACCUGGGAUUCCGUUUCAGGAGCUCGGGCUGAACGGCCACCUUCCUGGUGGGUCUGAGCCCCAGUGCCUGGUGUGAAGGGGCAGACGCCCAUGACAACAGCCACCCCGCAUGUCCCGGCAUGUCCCGGCACUGUGUGAGCCACAUUUGCUGAAGUCUGGGUCCUGGCCCUGGCAGGGUGGGCUGGGCUAGGAGAUGACACAGCAGCAGCAGCUGUGGCAGCGGCAGAAGGGGGGGCAGUGGCAGCAGUGGCAGCAGGGGCAGCAGCAGCAGUGGUGGGCGAUGUCAUCCCCGCGCCCCGCGGGCGGAGGGCCAGCGUAGGUCAGUCCGGCCUGGCGCUGACUGCUGCUGUAGGGGUUGCCAGGCUGCUGCCAGGCCUGCUGGUUCUGGAUGGGGGCAGCCCCCUGGUUACCCUUGGCGCCCUUGGGCCCUGGGACCUCGGUCGGCUGCAAGAGGUGGGUUGGCUCUGGGGCACAGGGCCCCACUGGCAGGGGCUGCAUCUCCGAGGAUGAGGAACAGGUGGAAGCCACCUCUAACUGCUGCCCCAGCCUGCAGGGGUGGGCAGAGAAGACAGACAUGAACUCAGUGGAGUGGGAUGGCUGCCCACGAGCCUGCGGCCCAGGAAAGCCCCCACCAGGAGCAGCGUGCCUCGUCCAAGCUCAGCAUCCCCAAGGCAUCAGUGCCGGGGUGCCAUCACCUCCAAAUGUGUGUGCAAGGCUAGUGUCAUGGGUGUGAGCCAAGUGUGAGCAAGCAGCAAGGGCCGGUGUCUCCCAGCUGCCACCCCUGCCAGGGAUCCUCCCCCUCCCCUGGUGGCAUUGGUCCUGGGAUGGAGCUGGGAAUGGGGUCGGGGAGGCUGAGAGAUGGGAGAGAAGGGGGCUGACCCUGCAGUGCCCCUGAGUUCAGGGCAGUCCCGGCGGCCAAGGGCUUACCUGUGGUGGCAACACGGCAGUCUGUCCUCUCGGUCUUCUGAGCUCUAGGUCCCAGUGCCUGAGUUGAGCGACUGGCAGCCGCCUUUUCCCUCCUUGGGAGGGGCGGGGCCAUGGGGCGGGGCUCAGAGAUGGGGUUCCCAAGAUCCCAAGAGGCCCCAGCAACUGGAGCACGACAGCUGGCCCAGCCCUCGUCCUCAGGUGGGUGGCAGCCCAGGCCUGGGCUCUGAGGGGCACUGCCAAACCAGUGACUCAGCCCCUCACAUCCGGGGCAUGGCCUGGGCCCUAAAGGGCAUCUGCAGCUUGCCUGAGAGGAGGGCAGGAGGUGAGCCUGAGGUCACGGCUCUGGAAAGGAAGUGGGGUGAGGCCCUCAGAUUCCCGGGCCUGCAGUCCCCAGCCAUUGCUCACACACCUCAAAGCC